CGGCUGGUGUUAAGAAGCCCUCAUAAUGCAGAGGAGACAUACCUCCAGAAUGUAGCUGGGGUUCCGAUGCGGGUGCUCUCAACCUCAACCUUCUUUGAGCAGAAGUGGCUGGUUACUCGAGUAGAUGCCACGGCUGUUUGUCCAACACCAGAGGCAGUGGCCUUUACUCCAGAAGUGAUCACCUGGUACAUGCCCAAGCACA